AUACAAUGAUGUCUGCAUAGUUCAGCUGAAUAAAUCAUGACGAACGAUCUUUCGCUCCUAUCUGAUGUAUCC